rnacentral:rRNA from 1 species
GCCAAGUCAUCAUGCCCCUUAUGCCCUAGGCGACACAUGUGCUACAAUGGGCGGGACAAAGGGUCGCGAUCUCGCGAGGGUGAGCUAACUCCAAAAACCUAUCCUCAGUUCGGAUUGCAGGCUGCAACUCGCCUGCAUGAAGCAGGAAUCGCUAGUAAUCGCCAGUCAGCCAUACAGUGGUGAAUCCAUUCCCGGGCCUU